ensembl:lncRNA
AUGCACACCGGGCAUCCAGGUUUUGAGACAUUGAUCACCUCUCCUUAUGGUAUUCCCCAGCCAAUACUGCCAGUAUUCGAACGGGACCGCGAGAGUGACUUUGCCCUUCUCAAGAUGGCCCUGGAUAAUCUGAUGGGCAGUCAUGGACACCUGAAUGAACAAUAUAAGUACCAAGUGCUUCUUGGCCACUUGAAGCUACCCAGUGCUUUACACCUAGCUAAGGCAUAUAUGUACGACACACAACCCUACACUGCUGCACUACAGGCAUUGCAAGAUAAGUACGGCCAACCAAGGCAGCUCGUCCAGUCAGAGCUAGGUGCUAUACUCAACUCGCCUGCUAUCAAGUUCAGUGACUCUGAGGCUUUUGACUCAUUUGCCCUCUCCAUCCAGUGUCUUGUGGGCAUGCUUGGGACACUUGAAGGACCAAAUGGUUUUGAGUUGAGGUGUGGAUCUCACGUGGAUCGCCUUUUGAGUAAAAUGCCCCCAUCCUUCAGAGACAGUUUUAUCGAGUAUUGUCUGAACCGUGGAAUCCUUCGAACAGGGUUCGAUAUAACCUACACAUUGCCAGACCUGGCAGCCUGGCUUCAGAUGAAGUCACAAGCUAAGCGUCUCUCCAGUCGAGCUGCAGCACUCUACCAGCACGAGACAACUAAACCGGUCAAGAAGGACAUUAUCCCCCACCAUAAGGAGAAGACCACAACUAUCUUUUUUAAUGCUGGAGAGCCCCCUAGUGUAUCAGAAAUUGCUCGUUCGAAAGCCACCUUCAAGUCCAAGCCAUAUUGUCCUCACUGUGAGAACAAAGACCACUUCUUAAGUAGCUGUGAGAACUUCAAGAAGCUGUCCACCAGUGAAAUCGUGAAAUGGAUCAGAGAUGGAAACCGGUGCUUCAAGUGUGGUCGUAAUCAUGCUGCACAAGACUGUAACUUGAAGCGCCCCUGCAAAACAUGCAAAGAACUGCACCUGACCAUUCUGCAUGACUCCAUCCAGCAGAUCCAAACCAACGUCAAUAUGAUAACCACACCAACAGCAAGGAUCUAUCUCGAUCGACCCAACCGAUCACAACAUGUGAUGUUAAAGGUUGUCAAAGUUAUCCUAAGGAAUGGUGACCGAGCUUUAGAGACCUAUGCUGUCCUAGACGACGGCUCAGAAAGAAGUAUCAUUCUCCCUCAAGCAGUGCGGCAACUAAACCUUUGUGGACAACCAGAGACACUUUACUUACAGACAAUCCAUCAGAAUGUUGGAAAGCUCCAGGGCAGUUCUGUCUCCUUUGACCUUUCUCCAACGUGCAUGCCCUCCAAGAAGUACCGGAUCCACCAGGCCUUCACUGCCGAAGGUCUGAACCUUGCCGAACACUCUUACCCAGUAGCUGCACUACAGCAAAGGUACAAGCACCUCAGCGGUUUGCCCCUACAGCCGAUUGACCGCAUUCACCCACUGCUCCUGAUAGGUUCAGAUAUGCCACACCUCCUAGUCCCCAUUCAGCCAGUCCGUGCAGGUCCACCAGGUGAUCCUAUUGGUGUCUGUACCCAACUAGGUUGGUCACUCCAGGGUCCUAACAGCCUAGUCCAGCCUACAUCAACCUCACAAUGUUUCCGCAUCUCCACUGUUUCUCCUGCUACCAAGCUCUUCAUGAAUGUUGGGCAAGUUGACGCAUUCCCUUAUAGUAGCGAGAAAGCAGUCACCCGCUCCAAGCAGGAUCAGAAAGCGAUGGCCAUGCUCCAAACAUCCACCACCAGAGUCAAGGUUGAUGGUGUACAGCAACAAGAUACCCCCUUGCUGAGGCAAGUUAAUGUUACACUGAUUCAAGGGACAAAGGACGCCGUGCUACCCUGUCUUCAUUGCAUAGAGGGCAGGCUUGCCAAGGACCCAGAGAGGAGGGCAGAAGUUUACUGCAACGAGAUCCAGAACCUGACUGAGCCUGAUAGCUGGAGAUAUGUGAGCUCUACAGCCAACCCGGCAGAUGAUAUCACUCGAGGUUUGACCCUACCUGAGCUGGCAAAUCUGCAUCGAUGGCAUCAAGGUCCAGGAUUUCUUCACUUACUGGAGGACCAUUGGCCCACCAUACCUUCUGCUGAUCCUGAGUCCGAUGACAAUAAGAUAAAGAAGUCCGCUGUGGUUGCCAAUGUGAUCAUCCUCCCUGGUAACCAGCUCCCAUGGAAAGAGCUCAUAGAAGCCACAGCCAGGUACCUUCACGGGGCGGCCGACCCGCAAACCACAAAUCUGCAUUGUAAAGCAUCUGACUACCUCGCCGCUGAGACAGCUCUUCUCAUCAAGGCCCAGUCAGAAUCAUUCCUCUACCACAAGCCAUUUAUAGCUCUACUGACCUCCUUGGAACACGUCGCUGGAAACAUAGUCAGGUGCUGGCAGAUCACUUUUGGUCUACCUUCAUCCGCCACUACUUGCCAGGUCUACAAGAGAGACAGAAGUGGAGGAAAGAUGGCGAGGGGCUUUCAGCCGGUAAGGUGGUCCUCAUUGUUGACCCGCGGCUUCCUCGAGCACUCUGGCCAGUUGGGAAGGUCACACAGACGUAUCCUGGAGCUGACAAUCGUAUCCGUACUGUGGCUGUGCAGGUGA